GACGAACGCUGGCGGCGUGCCUAAUACAUGCAAGUCGAACGCAGUGGGGACGGGUGAGUAACACGUGGGUAACCUCCCAUCAGAGGGGAUAACACUUGGAAACAGGUGCUAAACCGAUACUGAUGGAUGGACCCGCGGUGCAUUAGCUAGUUGGUGGGGUAAAGGCUCACCAGGGCCACGAUGCAUAGCUGACCUGAGAGGGUGAUCGGCCACACUGGGACUGAGACACGGCCCAGCAUCCUACGGGAGGCAGCAGUAGGGAAGCUUCGGCAAUGGACGAAAGUCUGACUGAGCCACGCAGCGUGAGUGAAGAAGGUUUUCGGAUCGUAAAGCACUUUUGUUAGAGAAGCGUUAUCUAACCAGAAAGCCACGGCUAACUACGUGCCAGCAGCCGCGGUAAUAC
rnacentral:rRNA from 1 species